rnacentral:rRNA from 1 species
AGUAACACGUGGAUAAUCUACCCGACAGUCAGGGAUAACAUUUCGAAAGGAAUGCUAAUACCUGAUAAGCCUACGCCCUCCUCGGAGGAAGUAGGAAAAGGUGGGGACCUUCGGGCCUGCCGUUGUUGGAUGAGUCCGCGGCCCAUUAGCUAGUUGGUAGGGUAAUGGCCUACCAAGGCUACGAUGGGUAGCUGGUCUGAGAGGAUGAUCAGCCACACUGGAACUGAGACACGGUCCAG